AUUGAACGCUGGCGGCAGGCCUAACACAUGCAAGUCGAACGAGUGGCGGACGGGUGAGUAAUGUCUGGGAAACUGCCUGAUGGAGGGGGAUAACUACUGGAAACGGUAGCUAAUACCGCAUACCAUCAGAUGUGCCCAGAUGGGAUUAGCUUGUUGGUGGGGUAUCGGCGCACCAAGGCUACGAUCCCUAGCUGGUCUGAGAGGAUGACCAUCCACACGGGAACUGAGUCACGGUCCAGACUCCGCCGGGAGGCAGCAGUUGGGAAUAUUGCACAAUGGGCGCAAGCCGGAUGCGUCCAUGCCGCGUGUAUGAAGAAGGCCUUCGGGUUGUAAAGUACUUUCAGCGGGGAGGCGUUACCCGCAGAAGAAGCACCGGCUAACUACGUGCGAGCAGCCGCGGUAAUUC
rnacentral:rRNA from 1 species